UGAGCAAUCUGCCCUUCUCUUUGGAAUAAGCGUUGGAAACGACGUCUAAUGCCGAAUACGACCUCCUUUCGCAUGAUCGGAGGUGGAAAGCUCCGGCGGAGAAGGAUGAGCUCGCGGCCUAUCAGCUAGUUGGUGUGGGUAAUGGCCCACCAAGGCGACGACGGGUAGCCGGCCUGAGAGGGUGACCGGCCACACUGGGAACUGAGACACGGCCAGACUCCUACGGGAGGCAGCG
rnacentral:rRNA from 1 species